rnacentral:lncRNA from 1 species
CUCUGAUAUGCAUAUGUGUAUAUGUGUUUGUGGAUGCUGAAAAUGGUUAUCGUUUGUGGAUGUGGACGAAACUUCACAGUUGCCAUUUGUGGAUGUGGAAAACUGAUAGAAUAUCAAGAAACUAUAAUCGUUCAGUUAAGAAUUGACAUAUCCAACUAAUAGAAGGUCCACAAACUGCUUCUCCAUUUCCUGUUUGAUCUCUUGAUCAUCACCUCCACAAUCUGUUCAAAUCACAAGUCAGACAAGGAACAUCUUCACAGGAGAAUACAAGAGCCAUAAAUGGUAGCGUGUUUGAUCAGAUAUAACUAUCAAAGAAACAAUGAGAAAGUGACAAAAUCAGGCUUAUAAACCCACUCCAAAUGGGAUAAUUAAUGGCUACAUAAGCAUCAAUUUUCUAUAAACUCAUAAAAGUCUAGACUCAGAAGACAGAGAUGGAUCUUCACGGUGGCCGUGGUUGACAGAGACGAGGCGGAACGGCAACAUGGUAGAAUCUUCAAAUCGACUUGAAGACAAAGAUGGCUCUUCACGGUGGUCGUGGUUGACAGAGACGAUGCGGAACGGCAACAUGGCAGGAAGUGUUUUAUUGUGCAAUACAUAAGACGUAAAGUCUCUUAGAAAGUAAAAAAAUCAUAAUUUGUAUAUAUAGUAAACUCAAUUUCUC